CCUAUACAUGCAAGUCGAACGCACAGCGAAAGGUGCUUGCACCUUUCAAGUGAGUGGCGAACGGGUGAGUAACACGUGGACAACCUGCCUCAAGGCUGGGGAUAACAUUUGGAAACAGAUGCUAAUACCGAAUAAAACUUAGUGUCGCAUGACACAAAGUUAAAAGGCGCUUCGGCGUCACCUAGAGAUGGAUCCGCGGUGCAUUAGUUAGUUGGUGGGGUAAAGGCCUACCAAGACAAUGAUGCAUAGCCGAGUUGAGAGACUGAUCGGCCACAUUGGGACUGAGACACGGCCCAAACUCCUACGGGAGGCUGCAGUAGGGAAUCUUCCACAAUGGGCGAAAGCCUGAUGGAGCAACGCCGCGUGUGUGAUGAAGGCUUUCGGGUCGUAAAGCACUGUUGUAUGGGAAGAACAGCUAGAAUAGGAAAUGAUUUUAGUUUGACGGUACCAUACCAGAAAGGGACGGCUAAAUACGUGCCAGCAGCCGCGGUAAUACGUAUGUCCCGAGCGUUAUCCGGAUUUAUUGGGCGUAAAGCGAGCGCAGACGGUUUAUUAAGUCUGAUGUGAAAGCCCGGAGCUCA
rnacentral:rRNA from 2 species